UAGCAGGACCCCAAGUGGUAGUCGUUAUUAUUGGGCUUAAAGUGUUCGUAGCCUGCCAUGUAAGUCCGCUGUGAAAUCCACAUGCUCAACAUGUGGGCGUGCAGCGGAUACUGCAUGGCUAGGGACCGGACGGCGUCGAGGCUAUUCCAAGGGUAGGAGUGAAAUCCUAAAAUCCUUGGAGGAGCACCUGUGGCGAAAGCGCUCGGCGAGUACGGAUCCGACGGUGAGGAACGAAAGCCAGGGGAGCAAAGCGG
rnacentral:rRNA from 1 species